UACGGAGGGGGCUAGCGUUGUUCGGAAUUACUGGGCGUAAAGCGCACGCAGGCGGUCUGUCAAGUCGGAUGUGAAAUCCCCGGGCUCAACCUGGGAACUGCAUCCGAAACUGGCAGGCUAGAGUGUGUCAGAGGGGGGUAGAAUUCCACGUGUAGCAGUGAAAUGCGUAGAUAUGUGGAGGAAUACCGGUGGCGAAGGCGGCCCCCUGGACAAAGACUGACGCUCAGGUGCGAAAGCGUGGGGAGCAAACAGG
rnacentral:misc_RNA from 1 species